rnacentral:rRNA from 1 species
GCUUACGGCCACACCUCCCUGAGCACGUCUGAUCUCGGAAGCUAAGCAAGGUCGGGCCCGGUUAGUACUUGGAUGGGAGACCGCCUGGGAAUACCAGGUGCUGUAAGCC